AGUGAACGCUGGCGGUAGGCCUAACACAUGCAAGUCGAACGGCAGCACAGUAGGAGUUUGUUUUUACGGGUGGCGAGUGGCGGCCGGGUGGGGAUAACAUCGGAUUCUACUUUUUCGUGGGGGAUACGGUGGGGAAACUAACGCUAUUACCGCUUACGCCCUCCGGGGGAAAGCAGGGGUUUUUCGGACUUUGCGCGAUUGAUUGGGCUGGUGUAGGAUUAGAUAGUUGGCGGGGUAAAGGCCCACCAAGGCGACGAUCCGUAGCUGGUCUGAGUGGAUGAUCAGCCACACUAGAACUGAGACACGGUCCAGACUCCUACGGGAGGCAGCAGUGGGGAAUAUUGGACAAUGGGCGCAAGCCUGAUCCAGCCAUACCGCGUGGGUGAAGAAGGCCUUCGGGUUGUAAAGCCCUUUUGUUGGGAAAGAAAAGCAGCAGGUUAAUACCCCGCUGUUCUGACGGUACCCAAAGAAUAAGCACCGGCUAACUUCGUG
rnacentral:rRNA from 1 species